rnacentral:rRNA from 1 species
AGUGAAUAGAUACCCAGGUAGUCCUAGCUGUAAACGAUGGACACUAGGUGUUGGAGGCAUCGACCCCUUCAGUGCUGUUCUGCUAACGCGUUAAGUGUCCCGCCUGGGGAGUACGGCCGCAAGGUUGAAACUCAAAGGAAUUGACGGGGGCCCGCACAAGCGGUGGAGCAUGUUGGUUAAUUGGAUGAUACGCCAAGAACCUUACCAGGGUUUGACAUCAUUGGGACAGCUGGUGAAAGCCAGUCUCCGUAGCAAUACGGUCCAUUGACAGGUGGUGCAUGGUUGUCGUCAGCUCGUGUCGUGAGAUGUUGGGUUAAGUCCCGCAACGAGCGCAACCCUCGCUGGAUGUUGCCAUCGGUAACGCCGGGAACUCUUCCAGGACUGCCCGAGUAAUCGGGAGGAAGGAGGGGACGACGUCAAAUCGGCAUG